CACGUAGGAGGCAAACGUUAUCCGGAUUUACUGGGCGUAAAGCGCGUGUAGGUGGUUCUGUAAGUAGGGCGUGAAAGCUCCCGGCUCAACUGGGAGAGGCCGUUCUAAACUGCAGAGCUAGAGGAUGGUAGAGGGAGGUGGAAUUCCAGGUGUAGCGGUGGAAUGCGCAGAUAUCUGGAGGAACACCGGUGGCGAAGGCGGCUUUCUGGCCAGUUACUGACGCUCAUGCGCGAAAGCUGGGGUAGCGAACCGGAUUAGAUACCCGGUAGUUCCU
rnacentral:rRNA from 1 species